GAGAGCUUUUUGCGGGGAAACUUGCACGUACAGUUUGGGGGGAGGGGUAUGGUUCUUUUUAAUCACCCUAGAU
rfam:Capsicum annuum cultivar Zunla-1 chromosome 1, whole genome shotgun sequence